rnacentral:rRNA from 1 species
AACGGACGCUGGCGGCAUGCCUAACACAUGCAAGUCGAACGAGACCUUCGGGUCUAGUGGCGCACGGGUGCGUAACGCGUGGGAACCUGCCCUUAGGUUCGGAAUAACUCCCCGAAAGGGGUGCUAAUACCGGAUAAUGUCUUCGGACCAAAGAUUUAUCGCCUUUGGAUGGGCCCGCGUUGGAUUAGCUAGUUGGUAGGGUAAAAGCCUACCAAGGCGACGAUCCAUAGCUGGUCUGAGAGGAUGAUCAGCCACACUGGGACUGAGACACGGCCCAGACUCCUACGGGAGGCAGCAGUGGGGAAUAUUGGACAAUGGGCGAAAGCCUGAUCCAGCAAGGCCGCGUGAGUGAUGAAGGCCUUAGGGUUGUAAAGCUCUUUUACCCGGGAUGAUAAUGACAGUACCGGGAGAAUAAGCUCCGGCUAACUCCGU